UCAUUUUGGUCUCCAGCACAAGCUUCUAUGCUGACUGAUUAGAUGAAACUAAUUAACAGCACAAAUUCUUAAGAUGAUGAAGCACAAUCCUCAUCAUUUCCUUCUGUCAACAAUGUGUAGGAAGAAAAAACAUUUGGGUAAGUGAAUGAGGAAAUUCCUGGUAUCAACUGUAUCCGUGGUAUAGAACUAAUAGCUGUGGGCUGCGCACCCUUUAAUCCCAACAUUUUGGGAGACCGAGGUGGGAGGACAGCUUGACGUCAGGAGUUUGAGACAAGCCUGGGCAACAUAGCAAGACCCUGUCUCUACAAAAAAUAAAAAUAAAAAAUUAACUGGGCGUGAUGGUGUCUGCCUGUAGUCCUAACUACUCAGAAGGCAGAGAGAGUAUUGUUUGAGUCCAGGAGUUUGAAGUUGCAGUAGCUAUGAUCGCACCACUGCCCUCCAGCCUGAAAAACAGAGGGAGACUCUGUUUCUAAAACAAAACAAACAACAAGAAAUAAUAGAUGUGUUUUGAAAAGUGCCUACAAGUCAAAGGGUGAGGACAGCUUUGGCCAAGGAGAUGAUAUUGAGUAUGGGAGGGCCAAUUAAACCACUUCAGAGAAAGCGGUGGUGGUCUCUGGUCUCAUAACUAUUUUUGCAUAACUCAUUAUUGUUUCCGUGUCCAGGCCAUCAGGCUACACCCCUCCUCUUAUGAGAAAGGUACAAAUGCAUAAAACUAAGUCACCAUAAGAUGUUUUGUCAGGAACGCUGCUAGCAGAGCACUCAUCUAACCUAAAUGUUUUUCUCUCCACAUCUACAAAUACAACUAUGUCUAUAGUUUAAACAUAUCACAUUAAAUAAAAUUCACUGAGUCUUCAGAACAAUCUAACAUUUAUUUUACAUACUCUAUUUAAGAAGGCAAUAAAAGUGUGGAUGUAUUUGUAUAAAAAAAUUAAUGUUCCAAAAUGUCCCCUAGAAUUUCAAACUUUGAGGUACAGGAAAAUAUCAAAUGUAUAGAAUUAUUAAUUCCUUGUGAGUUCCAGGUAGCUUAGGUAUUCACAGUACUUUGAAGAAAUAAUUUAAAGAAUGUCCUCUAAUAAUUAUGAAAAGGAAGAGAAGACUGACUUAAGCCUGUAUCUAUUUGAUCAGGUCUACUUAGUCUGCUGGGUUGAAAUCGGAGCACAGAGCACUUCUUUAGAAAGGGUUUAACUUGCAUCCCAUGUCUGAUGUGGCAACAAUACUAGUAACCCUGCUUAUACCCCCUUGGCUUUCACCUCUGCACUAGGAAGGCUGCUUACUGUCAACAUCUGAGAAUCUCUGUGUGUUAGGCCAUUCUUGCAUUGCUAUAUGGAAAUACCUAAGACUGGGUAAUUUAUAAGAAAAGAGGUUUGGUUGGCUCAUGGUUCUGCAGCUUGUACAGGGAGCAUAGCACUGGCUUCUGCUUCUGGGGAGGCCUCAGGAAGUUUACAAUCAUAGUGGAGGGCAAAGGGGGAGCAGGCGUUUCACAUGGCAGGAGUGGGAGCAACAGAGUGCAGGGGAGGUGCCACACGCUUUUAAAUGACCAGAUCUCAAAACAACUCACUCACUAUCAAGAGGACAGCACCAAGAGGAUGGUGCUAAUCCAUUCAGGAGAAAUCCGCCUCUAUCUAAACACCUCCCACCAGGCCCCACCUCCAACACUGAGGACUACAUUUCAACAUGGGAUUCCGAGGAGACAAAUAUCCAAACUACACCGCUCUGCCUGAGGACUUUUCUCUGACCACAGGGAACAUGUAUAACCAGCAUGCAGGACAACCCAGAAGUGCGGAGUUAACACCCACAGAAGCAACUCAGCAAAUGCUGGCUGAUGUGUCCACGGACAUACACCCGGCUUCUUUCCUCAUCAAUGUGAUUAGCUCCGAGGUGUGCUGUAUAGGAGCCCCCAGAGUUCCUUGGCAGGACUGGGCCCUGGGCUAUAGCUGGAGAUCCAUCUGUUCACUUGCUACGCAGUGGUUAUCAAACUUCGUGUGCAUCAGAAUCCUCUGGAAGGGUUAGACGGGGACUGCCUGGCCUGCCCUCAGAGGUUCU
rnacentral:lncRNA from 10 species